rnacentral:rRNA from 1 species
AGCAUAUCAAUAAGCGGAGGAAAAGAAACCAACAGGGAUUGCCCCCAGUAACGGCGAAGUGAAGCGGCAAAAGCUCAAAUUUUGAAAUCUGGCUCCUUAGGGGGUCCGAGUUGUAAUUUGUAGAGGAUGCUUCGGGUGCGGCCACGGCCUAAGUUCCUUGGAACAGGACGUCACAGAGGGUGAGAAUCCCGUCUUUGGCAGUUGGCCCGCGCCCGUGUGAAGCUCCUUCGACGAGUCGAGUUGUUUGGGAAUGCAGCUCUAAGCGGGUGGUAAAUUUCAUCUAAAGCUAAAUAUUGGCCGGAGACCGAUAGCGCACAAGUAGAGUGAUCGAAAGGUUAAAAGCACCUUGAAAAGGGAGUUAAACAGCACGUGAAAUUGUUGAAAGGGAAGCGCUUGCGGCCAGACUCGGGCGCGGGGUUCAGCGGGUGCGCGUCACCCGUGUACUCCCCGCCGCCCGGGCCAGCAUCAGUUCUGACGGCCGGUCAAAGGCCCCCGGAAUGUAUCGUCUCUCGGGACGUCUUAUAGCCGGGGGUGCAAUGCGGCCCGUCGGGACUGAGGAACGCGCUUCGGCUCGGAUGCUGGCGUAAUGGCCGUAAGCGGCCCGUCUUGAAACACGGACCAAGGAGUCUAACAUCCACGCGAGUGUUCGGGUGUCAAACCCGUGCGCGCAGUGAAAGCGAACGGAGGUGGGAGCCUUAGGGCGCACCAUCGACCGAUCCUGAAGUCUUCGGAUGGAUUUGAGUAGGAGCGUGGCCGUUGGGACCCGAAAGAUGGUGAACUAUGCCUGAAUAGGGUGAAGCCAGAGGAAACUCUGGUGGAGGCUCGCAGCGGUUCUGACGUGCAAAUCGAUCGUCAAAUUUGGGCAUAGGGCGAAAGACUAAUCGAACCAUCUAGUAGCUGGUUCUGCG